GGGCUCACACAAGCGGUGGAGGAUGUGGCUUAAUUCGAGGCUACGCGAAGAACCUUAUCCUAGUCUUGACAUGUAUGGAUUAACCCUGUGAAAGCAGGGCCACGCCUUCGGGUGGAACAUACACAGGUGCUGCAUGGCUGUCGUCAGCUCGUGUCGUGAGAUGUCGCGUUAAGUCGCUUAACGAGCGAAACCCUUGUCUCUAGUUGCCAGCGCGUAAUGGCGGGGACUCUAGAGAGACCGCCGGCGUUAAGCCGGAGGAAGGUGGGGAUGACGUCAAGUCCUCAUGGCCCUUAUGACUAGGGCUGCACACGUCCUACAAUGGAACGCACAAAGGGAAGCGAAACCGCGAGGUCAAGCAAAUCCCAAAAAUCGUUCCCUAGUUCGGAUUGCAGGCUGCAACUCGCCUGCAUGAAGCUGGAAUCGCUAGUAAUCGC
rnacentral:rRNA from 1 species